UGGGGAAUAUUGCACAAUGGAGGGAACUCUGAUGCAGCGACGCCGCGUGAGUGAUGAAGGAAUUCGUUUCGUAAAACUCUGUUCUAUGGGAAGAAAAGGACUGUACCAUAGGAGAAAGCUCCGGCUAAAUACGUGCCAGCAGCCGCGGUAAUACGUAGGGCGCGAGCGUUGUCCGGAUUUAUUGGGCGUAAAGAGCUCGUAGGUGGUUCGUCGCGUCUGUCGUGAAAGCCAGCAGCUUAACUGUUGGUCUGCGGUGGGUACGGGCGGGCUUGAGUGCGGUAGGGGUGACUGGAAUUCCUGGUGUAGCGGUGGAAUGCGCAGAUAUCAGGAGGAACACCGAUGGCGAAGGCAGGUCACUGGGCCGUUACUGACACUGAGGAGCGAAAGCGUGGGGAGCGAACAGG
rnacentral:rRNA from 1 species